rnacentral:lncRNA from 1 species
GCAAGCAUUGUGACAGCAAGGGUGAGAUCAUAACUGCCAGAAUUGAAGUGGAAAACAGAGCCCACAGAAGCCAUCCCCAUUCAGGGAUGCAGAGGAGAUGCACUAGUGGAUUCCCAUAGGAGAGGGGAAGCUGGGAAGGGAGAGGGGCUGUGAUUUCAGACCUGUUACCCUGUCAUUCCCUCAAGUCCUCAGCACUGAGCAUAGGUCACUGCUUUGUCCACAUGGGCUGAUAGUGGAUCCUGAGCCUCAUGCUGCUCAGACUCUGCAGUGGGGCAGGGGCAGGUGAUGAUGUGUACACUGAGCUUUCUUCUCUUCAUGUUCAGUUUUCCAGAAUUUACAAUAAUAUGCACUGGCUCUGACCUGCUGUGUUUGGUAAACAAUGAUGAGCCUCUUCCAGCCUGGGCAGGAACAGGGAUUUGGAGGCCCAUUUGAGCACCUCAGGAGUGAGACACAAGAGGAAUGAAGAGGAUGGACAAGGACUGAGAAAGAUUUCAAAAUAGAGCAGGUGAAAACUGCCUGAAUUUCUUCCUGAAACAGUUAUGAGAAUACUUGAGACUUCAAGACCUCCAGCUCUCUUGGGACCACAAGGCCUUAGGACCAACAAUGAAAAUUCUGUAUGACAAUGCAGGAAUAAAGAAGUUGAAGCUUUUCUAUUGUCUCUAAGUUGUUGCACCAGUCCUAUGUUCUUUAAAAUUCAGACUUCCUUUAUAGUCUUAAUAAUAGCCACAAUUUCA